AAGAAUUGUGAUGUUGAAUGUUGAAGUUCUUGCACAACUCCUUCAUCAUUUUGUUAUUGAGAUUAUGUAAUACCCCAAAAUUUACCCUUCAUUUUUCCUGGAAGCAUACGUUUUACACCUCAUGCAUGCAUUCAUUUUUAGGUCAUUUAUCAUUAGAUACAUUGCAUUUCAUCAUGUCAAUCAGAAUUAGAUCCAAGGAAUUUAUUUUAAAAU
rnacentral:lncRNA from 1 species